rnacentral:rRNA from 1 species
AUACGGAGGGUGCAAGCGUUAUCCGGAUUUAUUGGGUUUAAAGGGUGCGUAGGCGGAUCGGUCAGUCAGUGGUGAAAUCCCAUAGCUUAACUAUGGAACUGCCAUUGAUACUGCCAAUCUCGAGUAUAGUUGAAGUGGAUGGAAUGUAACAUGUAGCGGUGAAAUGCAUAGAUAUGUUACAGAACACCGGUUGCGAAGGCAGUUCACUAAACUAUUACUGACGCUGAGGCACGAAAGCGUGGGGAGCGAACAGGAUUAGAAACCCUAGUAGUCC